AAGGAGGUACGCAAAAUGGUAAAGCGGCUUUUUCUAGCGGAGUGUAUUGAAGGUUCGAAUCCCUCUCUCCUUA
rnacentral:tRNA from 1 species